rnacentral:rRNA from 1 species
GAUCUUUUAAAAAAAAUUAUGCUGUUAUCCCUAAGGUAAUUAAUUUUAUUAAUUUAAAAUUUAAGAUAUUUUAUUCAAAAAUAAUUGUUUAAUUUUAAAAAAAUUUUUUAAAUUUUUUAAUUACCCCAAUUAAAUUUAUUAAAAAAUUUUAUAAAAUAAUUUUUAUUAAAUUUUUUUAAUAAAUAAAAUUCUAUAGGGUCUUGUCGUCUUUUAUUAUUAUUUAAGUUUUUUUACUUAAAUAAUAAAUUUAAUUUUUAUUUAAUUUAUAAAGUUUAUAUUUCAUUAAAUCGUUCAUUCUAGUUUUUAAUUAAAAAACAAAUUAUUAUGCUACCUUUGUACAGUUAUUUAUUCUGCAGCCAUA